GACGAACGCUGGCGGCGUGCUUAACACAUGCAAGUCGAACGAUGAAGAAGAGAAACGCGAACUUCGGUUCAAAUUUCACUUCGGAUUAGUGGCAGACGGGUGAGUAACGCGUGAGCAACCUACCUCUUACAAAGGGAUAGCCUCGGGAAACCGUGAUUAAUACCAUAUGACACAUUCAUAAGGCAUCUUAAGAAUGUUAAAGCUACGGCGGUAAGAGAUGGGCUCGCGUCCCAUUAGCUAGUUGGUGAGGUAACGGCCCACCAAGGCGACGAUGGGUAACCGGCCUGAGAGGGUGAACGGUCACAUUGGAACUGAGACACGGUCCAAACUCCUACGGGAGGCAGCAGUGGGGAAUAUUGCACAAUGGAGGGAACUCUGAUGCAGCGACGCCGCGUGAGCGAUGAAGGAAUUCGUUUCGUAAAGCUCUGUUCUAUGCGAAGAAAAGGACUGUACCAUAGGAGAAAGCCCCGGCUAAAUACGUG
rnacentral:rRNA from 1 species